AAGAGGAAUGUGAACUGUGUAAAAAAGUGAGAUUGAGAUCUGCUCAGGAAUCUGAGAAGGUGAAGUGUGUAAUGAGGAACAGCUGAACUGAGUAAUGGCAAGUCAUCAGUGGACCUGAGCCACCUCGGCGUGGCGUCUGUCUCCUUCAUUUUUAAACACUGGAAUUAGGAGCCUCAAAGUCACAUCCAGUGUGGAUUCAAGGGAGGACCCUUCUGGCUUUCACAUGCUUUCAGUGCAUUACCACUUCAUCUUUGAGAUACAACACACUAGCCCUCCUGGUUUUUUUUUUUUUUUGGUUGAGUUGAACUUAAUUCCAUCUUUUCAUGUAACCAAGAAGCCACAAAAGAAAACAUCUGUUGUGCAAAACUUAGUGUUGCAGAUCUGACACUGAAGACUCUUUUCACGAACAAAUUAAUCAAGUUGGAAAGAAAUGAACAAGUGGACAAAACCGAAGUAAUUAUCCCUUGGACCACCUGCUUGAAGGAUCUAAACCACCAGGGGGCGCUUUUGCAUCAGAUAAAUGUACUGCCUAGAAUUUGCUGGAUGCUAUAAACUGACUUCCAGAGCUACCGUGGCUUGAUGGUUCCUAUUUUGAGGACCAUCCUGAGCGCGUGGUUGUUACUACCAAACUCCAACUAAGGACAUGGAAUCCUGUCUGCAUUAGGAUCCUAAUGAGCUGUAGCUCCAUCCACCAGAGGUCAGCCUACUCGAUUAUCCUCGCCACAGCUUGUUCCUGAUUUAUCCAGGCACGUUGCCGUCUCGUCUCCACUGCUGGACUUCUAGAACAUCCCUAUUUCUCUGGAACUGCUCCAAACAGAAUGUCACAAGGCUCUUGAUCUACUACAAACCAGACUUCAGUACUUCACAUACUUUGAGACUAGUGACCAAGUGGGAGAGCAGCCAGCAGGUGGUGGUGGUCUGUGCUAGGCUGGAAACAAACCCUAGCUGACCAGCUCUCCUGUCUGUCCUCAUGUCAAGUCAGCACCCUGGACAAUGAAUUGGACUAUACUCUGGAGAGACGGUUGCCUUUGUCCCAGAGUCACGUCGUGGUGAUAAGUUCCUAAGGCCAGACGUUAGGCUCUUUCCGUACAGACUGAAAUGCGCCUCUGUGCACUAAGGCUCUAGGCUUUGGCUUGCGUGUUCACAUCAAGGACUGGUGCAAGAAAUCUUAGCUACUGUUCAUCGUGGUGGGAGAUUGUGAGUGUUCAAUGCAGGCCCUUUUCUUAACACGUCUUACUCGCCGAACACUUUGUCUCCAGCACUAAUUCUAAGGAAGCUCACCGUGACCUGCCAAUGUAAUUGGCGAACAGCCGGAUGCAAUGACUGUCAGUGAAGAUUUCAACCAUGUAAAUCUCAACUCCUGCUCCCUAAAGAGGGGUAAAUGUACUGCAUCUGGUUUACACACACAGACCUGGGAUUUUCCAGGCAGAACCUUCCCUCUAUAUGCCAUCGAACUCUUUAAUACCCAUGGACUUAACUGAAACACACACAUGCUCACUUAUUUGCAAUUUUUUUUCUAUACUCAACUGUGGUUUCUUUUGGGCAAAUGUGCACAUAAUCAGUAUUAACAUCGGAUAAUGUUUCACUCAAUUGCUCAUAUUUGUACUAAUUAUGGUUAAUUGCCUAUUUGCAUGAACUGUAACCACUUUAGGGUUUUAAUGACAAAACCUCAUGGAGUACACUUUUGGAUCUCACAGUUGUUGUAUGGAGUUUUAUUUUCAGUUUGUGUGGUAUUUAUUUUUUUUUUUUACAUUUUUAUAAUGGUGUGAACAUUUCCAAUGCUUAUGUAGUGUCUUGUGUCUGUGGCUCGCUGCGGAGUCGCCGUAUUUCUGAAUGCCUUGUGUGGAUCUGUAAUUUUGUUUAUCAAAGCAGAACGUUUGUCUGUUUUGUGCAUUGGAAGUGAUUUCUCUAUUGUGUAAAAUUAUCUUGCAUGUUGAUGGAAAUGUUGAUUCUUGUAUGGUUAAGUAAAGUUGUGGGGGUGGUUGGGGUCCUUGUUCUGUCUUUUUUUUUUUUUUUUUUUUUUUUUUCCUCCUCUUCUUCUUUCCUUUUUUUUCCUUUCCCCCCUCUUCUUUCCCCUCCCCCUCGGUUACAAUAAUUCCUUAAUCUCCUUCAUACAAUAUUGGUGUAAUUUUGUGGGUUUUAAAAUUCAGAGGAGCUCCUCUACCAUCGUUCCAUGCAGUUUGCUUUAAACCUGCUUUAAUGGAGAAAUGCACUGAAGACCUGUUAAGGAAGCUUGGAGUAGAAGCGAAGUCUUCUGUUGGAGGUGUUCCAGAGUGUGAUUCCUUACUGCUGUUGGUGUACAAUUUCCAAUGAAUCAACUUGACUAGUCAGUACAGAGUAACUAAAAAAAGACAAAGCUCUUCAUCUUUGUUUAAAAAGGCCUACAAAAAAAAUAAAAGUUUAGUGUGUUGUUAUGCAACAUGUCCAUGCACAAAUCACUUUUGUUUAAUGGUAUUACACUGGCCCUGAAAUGUGGGAAGAUGAACUUGUCCACUAAAUUGUAACGAUCAAUACUCCAGCAUUGUGGUUUUUGUAAAAUGAGGAUGUGGGUGCAAAACGAAAAUUUAUAUAAAUAAACGUCAACAUGGCGCUAUUAAAAGCUCAACUUCCCAUGUGUGUGAAUUGCAAUGACGAUCCAUAAAUGUUUCUAAAAUAAAAACAGGCAUCUCUCUGUGACGCUGCAUCCCAGUACAUAAUGUCUAGUCAUCCAUGCGAUGAGCUGCCUUGAGGGGGUCAUCUUCAUAAAUGUUACAAUAUAUAUAAUUUUACUUCUGGUAUUUAUGCAAUAAAGCUGCACUUUUGUACUUUCA